GAUGAACGCUGGCGGCGUGCCUAAUACAUGCAAGUCGAACGAACAGACCAGGAGCUUGCUCCUCUGACGUUAGCGGCGGACGGGUGAGUCACACGUGUAUAACCUACCUAUAAGACUGGGAUAACUUCGGGAAACCGGCGCUUAUACCGGAUAAUCUAUUGCACCGCAUGGUUCAAUCGUUAAAUACGGUUUUUCUGUCACUUAUCGCUGAAUCCGCGCCGCAUUAGCUAGUUGGUAAGGUAACUGCUUACCAAGGCAACGAUGCGUAGCCGACCUGAGCGGGUGAUCGGCCACAUGGGAAGUGAGACACGGUCAAGACACCUGCGGGAGGCCGCAGUAGGGAAUCUUACGCAAUGGGGGAAAGCCUGACGGAGCAACGCCGCGUGAGUGAUGAAGGUGUUCGGAUCGGAAAACUCUGUUAGUAGGGAAAAACAAAUGUGUAAGUAACUGGGCUGGUCGUGACGGUACCUAAUCAGAAAGCCACGGCUAACUACGUG
rnacentral:rRNA from 1 species